rnacentral:rRNA from 1 species
UACGUAGGGUGCGAGCGUUAAUCGGAAUUACUGGGCGUAAAGCGUGCGCAGGCGGUUCGUUAAGUCAGAUGUGAAAGCCCCGGGCUCAACCUGGGAACUGCAUUUGAAACUGGCGGGCUUGAGUGUGGCAGAGGGGGGUGGAAUUCCGCGUGUAGCAGUGAAAUGCGCAGAUAUCAGGAGGAACACCGAUGGCGAAGGCAGCUCGCUGGGACGGUACUGACGCUGAGACGCGAAAGCGUGGGGAGCAAACAGG